GCGUGAGUGAUGAAGGCCUUAGGGUUGUAAAGCUCUUUUACCCGGGAAGAUAAUGACUGUACCGGGAGAAUAAGCUCCGGCUAACUCCGUGCCAGCAGCCGCGGUAAUACGGAGGGAGCUAGCGUUGUUCGGAAUUACUGGGCGUAAAGCGCACGUAGGCGGCUUUGUAAGUUAGAGGUGAAAGCCUGGGGCUCAACUCCAGAAUUGCCUUUAAGACUGCAUCGCUUGAACACGGAAGAGGUGAGUGGAAUUCCGAGUGUAGAGGUGAAAUUCGU
rnacentral:rRNA from 1 species